UACAGAGGGGGCAAGCGUUAUUCGGAAUUAUUGGGCGUAAAGGGCGCGUAGGCGGCUUUGCAAGUGACGGGUGAAAUCCCUCGGCUUAACCGAGGAACUGCCUGUCAAACUGCAUGGCUUGAGACCGGGAGAGGUGAGUGGAAUUCCCAGUGUAGCGGUGAAAUGCGUAGAUAUUGGGAGGAACACCAAUGGCGAAGGCAGCUCGCUGGGACGGUACUGACGCUGAGGCGCGAAAGCGUGGGGAGCAAACAGG
rnacentral:rRNA from 1 species